CAAUUUGGGCUUCCAUCUUGUUCAGCUCCUUCCAAUCAACGAUACUUCAGUUCAUGGGAUGAGGUGGGAUUCUUAUCCGUACAGCUCCCUCUCUGUGUUUGCUUUGCAUCCCUUGUACCUGAGGGUACAAGCACUUUCAGAUGCAAUUCCUGUG